ACGCUCGACACCUACGGGGGGCAGCAGUGGGGAAUAUUGCACAAUGGGGGAAACCCUGAUGCAGCGACGCCGCGUGAGCGAAGAAGUAUUUCGGUAUGUAAAGCUCUAUCAGCAGGGAAGAAACUGACGGUACCUGACUAAGAAGCACCGGCUAAAUACGUGCCAGCAGCCGUGGUAAUCUGAGCGGGCUGGCAAGGC
rnacentral:rRNA from 1 species